rnacentral:rRNA from 1 species
UGGGGAAUCUUCCGCAAUGGACGAAAGUCUGACGGAGCAACGCCGCGUGAGUGAUGACGGCCUUCGGGUUGUAAAGCUCUGUUAAUCGGGACGAAUGGUUCUUGUGCGAAUAGUGCGAGGAUAUGACGGUACCGGAAUAGAAAGCCACGGCUAACUACGUGCCAGCAGCCGCGGUAAUACGUAGGUGGCAAGCGUUGUCCGGAAUUAUUGGGCGUAAAGCGCGCGCAGGCGGAUUGGUCAGUCUGUCUUAAAAGUUCGGGGCUUAACCCCGUGAUGGGAUGGAAACUGCCAAUCUAGAGUAUCGGAGAGGAAAGUGGAAUUCCUAGUGUAGCGGUGAAAUGCGUAGAUAUUAGGAAGAACACCAGUGGCGAAGGCGACUUUCUGGACGAAAACUGACGCUGAGGCGCGAAAGCCAGGGGAGCGAACGGG